UGGGGAAUAUUGGACAAUGGGCGAAAGCCUGAUCCAGCCAUGCCGCGUGUGUGAAGAAGGUCUUCGGAUUGUAAAGCACUUUAAGUUGGGAGGAAGGGCAUUAACCUAAUACGUUAGUGUUUUGACGUUACCGACAGAAUAAGCACCGGCUAACUCUGUGCCAGCAGCCGCGGUAAUACAGAGGGUGCAAGCGUUAAUCGGAAUUACUGGGCGUAAAGCGCGCGUAGGUGGUUUGUUAAGUUGGAUGUGAAAGCCCCGGGCUCAACCUGGGAACUGCAUCCAAAACUGGCAAGCUAGAGUACGGUAGAGGGUGGUGGAAUUUCCUGUGUAGCGGUGAAAUGCGUAGAUAUAGGAAGGAACACCAGUGGCGAAGGCGACCACCUGGACUGAUUCUGACACUGAGGUGCGAAAGCGUGGGGAGCAAACA
rnacentral:rRNA from 1 species